CCUACGGGAGGCAGCAGUGAGGAAUAUUGGUCAAUGGACGAGAGUCUGAACCAGCCAAGUAGCGUGAAGGAUGACUGCCCUAUGGGUUGUAAACUUCUUUUAUAUGGGAAUAAAAUGUUCCACGUGUGGGUUUUUGUAUGUACCAUAUGAAUAAGGAUCGGCUAACUCCGUGCCAGCAGCCGCGGUAAUACGGAGGAUCCGAGCGUUAUCCGGAUUUAUUGGGUUUAAAGGGAGCGUAGAUGGAUUGUUAAGUCAGUUGUGAAAGUUUGCGGCUCAACCGUAAAAUUGCAGUUGAUACUGGCAGUCUUGAGUACAGUAGAGGUGGGCGGAAUUCGUGGUGUAGCGGUGAAAUGCUUAGAUAUCACGAAGAACUCCGAUUGCGAAGGCAGCUCACUAAACUGCAACUGACACUGAUGCUCGAAAGUGUGGGUAUCAAACAGGAUUAGAGACCCGAGUAGUC
rnacentral:rRNA from 1 species